GACGAACGCUGGCGGCGUGCCUAAUACAUGCAAGUCGAACGCUGAAGGAGGAGCUUGCUCUUCUGGAUGAGUUGCGAACGGGUGAGUAACGCGUAGGUAACCUGCCUGGUAGCGGGGGAUAACUAUUGGAAACGAUAGCUAAUACCGCAUAAGAGUAGAUGUUGCAUGACAUUUACUUAAAAGGUUCAAUUGCAUCACUACCAGAUGGACCUGCGUUGUAUUAGCUAGUUGGUGGGGUAACGGCUUACCAAGGCGACGAUACAUAGCCGACCUGAGAGGGUGAUCGGCCACACUGGGACUGAGACACGGCCCAGACUCCUACGGGAGGCAGCAGUAGGGAAUCUUCGGCAAUGGACGGAAGUCUGACCGAGCAACGCCGCGUGAGUGAAGAAGGUUUUCGGAUCGUAAAGCUCUGUUGUAAGAGAAGAACGAGUGUGAGAGUGGAAAGUUCACACUGUGACGGUAUCUUACCAGAAAGGGACGGCUAACUACGUG
rnacentral:rRNA from 1 species